rnacentral:rRNA from 1 species
UACGUAGGGUGCAAGCGUUGUCCGGAAUUAUUGGGCGUAAAGAGCUCGUAGGCGGUUUGUCGCGUCUGCUGUGAAAACUCGGGGCUUAACCCCGGGCCUGCAGUGGGUACGGGCAGGCUAGAGUUCGGUAGGGGAGACUGGAAUUCCUGGUGUAGCGGUGAAAUGCGCAGAUAUCAGGAGGAACCCCGGUGGCGAAGGCGGGUCUCUGGGCCGAUACUGACGCUGAGGAGCGAAAGCGUGGGGAGCGAACAGG